rnacentral:rRNA from 1 species
UCCCUCAGUAAUGGCGAAUGAACAGGGAUGAGCUCAGUAUGGAAAUUGGGGCCUGUGGCCUUGAAUUGUAGUCUGGAGAUGUACCACCAACUGGGGCGCAGAUGUAAGCCUCUUGGAAAAGAGCAUCAAUGAGGGUGAGAGUCCCGCAUGGCAUCUGCAGUCCCCAGUGCACGGUGUACCUUCUAAGAGUCACGUUCCUCGGGAUUGGAGCGCAAAUCGGGUGGUAAAUUUCAUCUAAAGCUAAAUAUAGUUUCGAGACCGAUAGCAAACAAGUACCAUGAGGGAAAGGUGAAAAGGACUUUGAAAAGAGAGUUAAAAGUGCCUGAAAUUGCUGAAAGGGAAGCGAAUGGAACCAGCGAAACUUGGCAAGAUUGCUGUGUGUCAAUGUGAUUGCUUGCUGCUGCAACGUAAGUGUGGUAGUAAGUCUUGAGCAGGACAUGCUCGGUGUUUCUUGCCUUGUGUGUCACCUGUGGUUCGUGAUUGAGGAAAACUUCAGGGACAUGGUAGCCUGUCUCCGGGUGGGUGAACGUGUCUGCUGGAACUCAUUCGUGGACUGCUUGGUGACUAAAUGGUUUCAUCCGACCCGUCUUGAA